GCUGAUCAACUCAUGUCCCCGUGUCCUCACGUCCUCCUGUCCUCUGUGCUAAAAGCUAAAUAAUGCACAGAACAAACCAGAAAACAAACAAACAAACAAACUACAUCAAGUAAACUGUCGAAUGUUGAUGAAACGUCCUGUCGUGAACAAAACAACAGAAAGUUUUGGACCCAAACAAACUUUGAACGCGUCUCCACUCAGGCCCAGCUGUGUGGUUCAGGAAGCGACGGUCGCUCGUCACUGAACUACUUUUAAUUUAACACUUUUUAAUUCUGGUUAAACGAAGCUCUCGUUGGAUUCGAAGCUCAAUUUGGUUUUGACACAUGAAAUUUUGAUUUUUAAUGGUGGAAUUCUUUUUCCUCUUCUCACGCGGCUGCAGGUUUAAAAGGACACAAGCUGUGGGGCCAAACUUCUGCUUCUGAACCGAUAAGACGACGUCCGUCCUGAAAAAGCUGACUGACGGGAUAACAAGCAGGUGAUGUCUGGAAAGUGCUGGAUCAGCAGCACUCAUGAUGAGGCUGGCUGAUACUCUGUCUUGCUUGUGACCUUCGCCGCUCCUCUGAUGUCCAUAACAAAUUGCCCCAGGGUAUCAGCAUGAUACAGUAGCAACACAGCACAGGAAUAAUGGCCAGCUUAGCAAAGCUGAGUGUGUGUGUGUUUGAAAACUUUUAAUUACAGUCCUGAGUGCCCUCCUCUUCUAUAAAAUUGACAUUGUUGUGCACAUUUCAUUUCAUGCCUGUGAGUUGAACCUGAUACACAACACCUUGUGCAUGUAUAAAAUUUGUGUCAAAAAUAAAUUACUGA